UUAUUACCUGUCGAACUGGGGCAGUUCGACAGGUACCCUAUCGAACUGGGGCAGUUCGACAGGUACCCUUUCGAACUGCCUCCGUUCGACAGGGUG
rnacentral:pre_miRNA from 1 species